rnacentral:rRNA from 1 species
UACGAACCGUCCAAACGUUACUCGGAAUCACUGGGCUUAAAGGGUGCGUAGGCCGCGCGGAGGGUGGGAUGUGAAAUCCCCCGGCUCAACCGGGGAAUAGCGUCCCAAACCGCCGUGCUCGAGGGAGACAGAGGUGAGCGGAACUGAUGGUGGAGCGGUGAAAUGCGUUGAUAUCGACAGGAACGCCGGUGGCGAAAGCGGACCGCUGGCCCUCUUCUGACGCUGAGGCGCGAAAGCCAGGGGAGCGAACGGG